UUUUUUUUUAUGGCUGUACCUGUGGCAUAUGGAAGCUCCCAGGGUAGGGGUUGAAUUGGAGCUACAGCUGCCGGUCUGUACCACGCCAAAGCAAUGCAAGAUCUGAGCUGUGACCUACACUGCAGCUUGCAGCAACUUUGUAUCCUUAACCCAUUGAGUGAAUCCUCAAUCCUCAUGGAUAAUAGUCAGAUUCUUAACCUGUUGGGCCACAAUGGGAACUCCCGGCAAAACCUCUCUUCAGAGAUCUCAUGUCCUGUCUGACAAGGUAGUUAACAGGACUAAAGAGUUCACGGCUGAGGCCUCCUGGGCAUCAGAACACGAUGGAGAGCAUAUUAUACCAGAACUAAAAUGCCGAAAAAGCAAGUGCAUCUAGAUCUCUUCGAUGAAUAAAAAGAGUUGGAGAGCAAGUCACAACAGCCUUGAAGCAACAUGACUCAGACAUCUAACUGCCCUUAAUAACUGAAAGAGAACAUUUACUGAUUCUUCCUGUCAUAGUUAAGGAUGCUCACUUGUUUUUAAUGCUUCUCCCACAUGAAAUUUCAAAUUGCUACAAUUUUACCCUGUAUGCCACCUCUCUCCAGAUAUUUUAUAGAUAUUUAUGUUAUAUAGCUAAAGAAAAACAGUGUUAAACAAAACAUCCUCUAAAGUCAUUCGCUUGCCCUCUCUUUACCUAUGUCUCUGAAAGGUGCUUUAAUAGCAAGUCAGAGGAGUUUGGGGGGAUAAGUUCAAACCUGAAGUUUUUGGCCUAGCCAUAAGUCUUGGAACUUUAAAAAAAAAGAGAGAGAGAUAUUCUAUUAAAACUCAAUGUAAAUCAGAGCACAUACAUAUUAUUACCAUGAGUUAAGAACAUGUGUGAUUCCAUGACCCAGACAGGUUCUGUUGGGAAAAGUCCCUUCCAGACAAAACUUCAAAAAUCUACAAAUGUGUGCACUGAUGCUUAAGAUGUGUGUGCCAGGGUACACCGUUGUGGAUGUAUAACCCCGAUUCAGGGUAAUAAUGCUCCUUAAUCCGCUGGGCAUCUAGCUAAGCCAUUCUUUAGGCGAGAAUUUGGUUAAAGUGACCAAAAACUUAUAAUUGAAAGUUUCUUAUAUACCCAGGUUCAUUAAUAUAGUCAUGUGAUACGGUUUCAGGGUGGUGAUUUCCACUAAUACAUCUUUUUUUUUUUUUUUUUUUUUUUUUUUUUUUUUUUUUUUUUUGUCUUUUUGCUAUUUCUUGGGCCGCUCCCGCGGCAUAUGGAGGUUCCCAGGCUAGGGCCCUGAAAAGACAAUAAAAUAGAAGAAUCUACCUGCCACUACAACAGUGUUUGUCAUAUGGUAGGUACUCAAUAAACGUUUUUGCAAGAUUAAAUGAGAGAAUGAAUGACACCUGUCGUAAACUGUACCAUCCAUGCACAUUCUAUUUUUACUAGUCAGUGAAAAGUAAGUUACCAAACCAUGUUUGAACAAUUUGGGAAUAUGUGAGACAACGGUUAGUAAAACAUAUUCUUUAAAACUGGAUCAUCAAUGAUUUCCUACUUCAAAACUAAUUCUACUUAAAAUGUUAAGUGGUAGAAACAAUGGUCUUAUAAAAACAUAAACGUAAACUGUGUUUAGAUUUAUCUUAUAAAGCCUAACACUUAAAAUCUACCUGAAAAUAAGAAACACAUUUAAAAAAAUUCUAGUGUCCCCUGCGGUGCAGUGGGUUAAGGACCUGGCGUUGUCAUUGAGGCGGCUGGGGUAGCUGCUGUGGCGUGGGUUUGGUCCUUGACCUGGGAAAUUCCACAUGCUGUGGGUAUAGCCAAGAAAAAAAGAAAACAAAGCCAAAAAAAAAAAAGACACCAAAAAACCCAGUAAUAUCUCAUUUAUAUUACUAUAGGUAUGAGCUUUUUUUAGGACAAAAAAUGUCUUUUAAAUCAUUCUUUUCUUUUCUAUUUUCACCACUCUCAUUUCAACCCAAUCCUCUUUGGGAGUUCACAAUCAGCUAUGUUUCAGAUUGCUAUACUCAAAAAGUACUCUUUUUUUUACCUCCUCUGGCCAUACCCACGGCAUGUGGAAGUUUCCAGCGCAGGGAUGGAACCCUAACCAGAGGAGUAACAACGCAGAAUCCUUUAACUGCUGUGCCACCAGGGAAUGCCUCAAAAAGUAUCCUCAAAGGGCUUGCUCUCUCUUCUAAAUCAAACAAUUCACCUACAGUAAUAGUGGACAUGGUGUAUUAAGGUAUAACCCUGUAGAUGUGAGGCAGAAACAUGGGGAAAUCCUUUUCUAACAGAAAGAGGAUGCAAGGUAACAGCUAAAUGGAGUCAGAAGCAGAAAAUGCUGAGAGCUUGACAGAAGAAGGUAUGAAAUAGUUGUCUAGAAAAGUGGUACUAUGUGUGGGCAGGGAAAAUGUUUCAGGAUUUUAGGCAUGACUGCCUUACAUGGUUAACGCAAGGAUCAUUAUUGUUACAAUGCUUGAUGGGUGUGGUCUUUAAUUCUCUGGCACAAAUUGUUACCUCUUAGACGUAUCUCCAUGAUGCUCUGAGUAUUAUCUUCUAAAAAUACAGCUCUGAUCAAAAACCUUUAAUGGCUCUUAGCUAGUAUAAUCUUCUCAGGACAAUGUCCUUUUGUUUUUGUUUUUUUAGGGACCGCACCUGUGGCAUAUGGAGGUUCCCAGGCUAGGGGUCAAAUUGGAGCUGUAGCCACUGGCUUAAGCCACAGCCACAACUACAGAUCUGAGCCGAGUCUGCAACCGGUACCACAGCUCACAGCAACGCCCGGAUAUCUGACCCACUGAGCGAGGCCAGGGAUCCUCAUGGUUCUUAGUCAGAUUUGUUUCUGCUGAGCCACGACUGGAAAUCUGUCCUUUAAAUUUCAGCUUCAUCCUACCUCUCAGACUUCUCCAAACAGUUCUACAUUUUAAGCUCUAAGACUAUGGAAGUUCUUGACAAUACUUCAU
rnacentral:lncRNA from 1 species